UGAACACACCGCCCGUCACACCACGAAAGUUGGUUGCAACCGAAGUCGGUAAUCCAACCCGCAAGGGAGGUAGCCGCCGAAGUUGUGGCCAGUAAUUGGGGUGAAGUCGUAACAAGGUAGCCGUACGGGAACGUGCGGCUGGAUCACCUCCUU
rnacentral:rRNA from 1 species